UUCCGUUCCUUGUUUCUUUCUCUCACGUCUCUUCUAGGUCUCUCUCCGUUCUCCUGCAACCAUCAAAAGUCAAUCUAGAUCUGGUUACCAGUUGGGUGUUUUCACCUUCUUCGUUUUCGAUUUGUAUUGGAACAAUCAAAUAUCUUUCGAUCGGUUCAAUUUUCUAUUGGUGAAACUAAAGGAUAUCGAAUGGAAAGGAAAGUUUUAAAUGCAUGGUGGUGAAGCAGAGCAAACAUCUGUUUUGGAAGGAUUCAGUAAGGAACCAGAUUAGUUCUCAUAUUCAUCGUCAGAUUGUUGCUCCGGUUCUGGAUCAGUUUCAUUGCCAACUCCUGCACAGAAGCCAGCUCAGAAUCCUUGGUCUACAUAGCUGCUGGGAAGUAAUAACGUUUUUGCAAUGGCCGAAACCCCGCUAGAACUCGAUGCAGAUGGUUGAUCAUUAGCAUUAUCUGGUUGCUAUCUGCUUCAGCUCACCUCCUUUCAAAAGUUUGCCUGGUAAUCUGCAAAGACUGUAGGUGCAAAAGGAAGUACCCGAUAAGAGUUCAAGUGCAAUAGCUCCGAAACUGUAUUUGUCGCAUUUCUCUGUCACCUUCAUUGCAGAUGCAAGCUCUGGAAACAGUGAAACGGUAAUAGAGGAAUUAAUUCAAUUAAAUAAACUUGGAAUCAAUAAACAUAACCAUAUCGUCUUUAAGUUCCUUCAAGUCUCCCUUCAGUGAGGUUGUAGAUUGCUUGGCUGCGUUUUUCAUUAAUGUUUGAACCUGAACCAAACUUUCUUUUAUGUUCAGAAUGUCAUCCUUGAGUUCAUUCUCACUUGUAGGAGAUAGAUUGGAUAAGUUCUCCAUAAAAGCUUCCACCCCAAUCAAACUUGCUUUUAUAUUCUUCAGUUCAAGCUUCAGUUCACUCUCACUUGUAGUUGUAGGAGUUAGCUUGCCAGAGUUCAUGCAAUUUUCCAUCCUAGCCAAACUACCUUUAACUACAAGUGAGAGUGAACUGAAGCUUGAACUGAAGAAUAUAAAAGAAAGUUUGAUUGGGGUGGAAGUUUUUAUGGAGAACUUAUCCAAUCUAUCUCAUACAAGUGAGAAUGAACUCAAGGAUGACAUUCUGAACAUAAAAGAAAGUUUGGUUCAGGUUCAAACAUUAAUGAAAAACGCAGCCAAUCAAUCUCCAACCUCUGAGAAUGGACUGAAGGGAGACUUGAAGGAACUUAAAGACGGUAUGGUUAUAAAAAAAAAAGUGGAAAGGUAUUUGAAGAUCUCCGCCAAUAGGCCUCUUACUUACCAACCCCGAGCAGUGGAUUUCUUGCGGAGGCUUGGAGAGGCUCCUACAAUCCAGUAAGAAACUGAGUUAGCUGCAAUCAGGGCUGCAGGAAAGGCGUGGUACCAAACUAUGAUCUCAGACAGCGAUUACACAGAGUUCGAUGUCUUCCGUGAGUGGCUCAGUGAUUCUCUUGCAGUUUCGCAGUUUUUUCUGUUGGUGGAUUUUCUCGACUACUUGCAUCUCCUUCUGAACCCCGGAUAUUUAGUUACUUUAUUUGGUUAGACAGAUUUAAGGGUAAGACCGAUGAAAGACAUGAAAUUGAGUCAUAGUUUUUGGAUCUUUAUACAUAUGGCGGCUUUUGUGUUGUUAAAGUUUGCUUGCAAGUAGUUUUUACUGCUUUUUUUCCUUUCCCCAGUUCAGUGAAAUAUUCUAGUUUGAUAUUCUCAUAGUUUAGACUUCAUUUCUGCUGCCA